CACAGGCGGACGGCUGAGGCGGAGGCCCUGCUGCAAGACGGCGGGCGGCCCGGGCCAUCCCUGGGACGCCUGACCCUGCAGGCUGCCAACCAGAGCCUCCGCCUGGCGGCGCAAGGCUGCCAGGAACCCCUGCUGGGCCGCGUGGAGUCCAGAAUCACAGCCAUUGGGGCCCAGGUGCGAGCCCAGCUGGAGAAGAAGGUCCGAGGCUUGGAUGCCUACGUGGAGAGGUUCCGGCGCCUGGUGGGUAGUGCGUCGGGGUCUUGGGGACACACUUGGAGAGUGGGAGGCUGUGUGUGGAGAUGCACCCCCAGAACCCCCCGCCUGGCCUGUGCCCCCCACUCAGCAGGCGUGAGGACUUUCUGGAAUGCUGGGUGCCCCAGACCCUCACACUGAUCCUGCCUCGAUUUCCCUGCCCAGGUGCAGCCGGCGGGCACCCUGGACAGUGUGGUGGGCCCCAUCCUGCAGCUAUCCCACGCGGGACUGGACGCUGUGCUGGCGAGUGGCCGGGCGGCGGCCUCGCUGUGGGGCCAGAGCCAGGCCAGGCGGGCGCUGACACACCACUUGCCGCUCUACCUGGAGAGGCUGCAGGCCGGGCUGGAGCAGCUGCGGAAUGAGCUGGAACGGCCCCUGGCCACGCUGAAGGAUGCCUACCUGGAGGUGACACUGCGGCCCCUGGACGAGCUGUGGCAGGAACGGGCGCAGGAGGCCGUGCAGCUGUUGCGGGCCGUGCGGCCCAGGCCCAUCGGGGCAGCCCUGGAGCUGGUGAGGUGGGGCGCAGGAGUGGGACGCGGCCCUGCCCGGCCAGGCGGACCCUGAUGGCUCUCGCCGCCCGCCUCCCCUGCAGGCCGCCCGCCAGAUGCUGUCCUGGGCCGAAGCCACUUUGUCACGGGCCCUGAGGAGGCUCUGCAAGCCGUUGCUGGCUCUGUACAGCUUCUCAGCCAGAAACUGCUCUGUGAUGGUGACACUGCCGCUGCUGCCUGCGGGGGACGAGCCCCUGACCAUGGCCCGGGUGACCGGCCACCUGGUGGAGGAGAAGCUGCUGCGGCCCCUCCGCGAGCUGUACGGGACCCGCGUGCUGGCCGAGUACUACCGGCUGCAGCGUCUCCUGCUGGAGAGCCCCCAUGACUACCAUGCUGUGGUGGCCGGGGACAGGCAUGUGGUAACCUUCGAUGGCCAGGUGUGGAGUCUUCGUGGCCACUGUGGCAGUCUGCUGCUGGCCAAGGACUUCGCCCACAACACGUUCUCGCUGACGCUGAACCGGGCCCCUUCAGGACUCACAUCCCUGUCCGUGGAGCUGAACCACACGACCCUGGUCCUCUACCCAAGCCUAAAGACCUACAAGCUGUACGACUCCUCCCUGCCUACGGAGAUCUGUCCGCACCUGGAUCUGCCACCUGCUAAGACAAGGGGGGACAUUCCCAAGAUCGAACUGACCAGUGAGGACGGCAUCUCAGUCACCUAUGAUGUGCGAACGGGCCUCUGCAGCCUGACUCUGGGCCUCUGGCUCCAUGGUGGGUCUGGGCCCAGUUGGCAGCCUCCGAGCCAGUGGAGUUGGCUUUGCUGA
rnacentral:lncRNA from 1 species